rnacentral:tRNA from 1 species
GGAAGUGUGGCAGAGCGGUUUAAUGCAGAGGAUUGCUAAUCCUCCGAUACAUGCUAUAAUGUAUCCGUUGGUUCAAAUCCAACCACUUCCG